rnacentral:rRNA from 1 species
AAUACGAAGGGGGCUAGCGUUGUUCGGAAUUACUGGGCGUAAAGCGCACGUAGGCGGAUCGAUCAGUCAGGGGUGAAAUCCCAGAGCUCAACUCUGGAACUGCCUUUGAUACUGUCGAUCUAGAGUAUGGAAGAGGUGAGUGGAAUUCCGAGUGUAGAGGUGAAAUUCGUAGAUAUUCGGAGGAACACCAGUGGCGAAGGCGGCUCACUGGUCCAUUACUGACGCUGAGGUGCGAAAGCGUGGGGAGCAACCAG